rnacentral:lncRNA from 1 species
CACUCUCCUCAGCUCCAUCAUAGGAUCUCUUCUCUCUUUUCCCACCUUCACUUGGCCUCCUGUCUCUAUUGGAGCCAUUUAGCCCUUCCCAAGAUUCUAAUCUCCAGUAAAUCAAAGUUCUCAGGUGACUGAACCCACCUUCCUUAGAAAACAGUUCCAAAGUGCUCACUUGACCAACAAAAACAGGCCUCUUGCAAAGCCAGGUCAGAGAUUUUGUAUGUAUUUACAGAUAUUAUAUGAAAAUCUCUUGCUCAGAAAAAUUAGAAAAAUGAGACUUUUUUUCAUAUAAUUUGGAUUUUACAAGCGAUUAAAGGAGACAUUUGUGAAAGUAGCUAACACAGUGCCUGGUGGUUAGUGAAUGGACACUCACUACCUAGGAAUGCUACUUUCCACCCUUUCAUUAUUCAUUAAUUUGCUCAUUGAUUACCCUGUUUAGACAAGGCCUAGGCUCUGGCUAUAACAGCCUGUUUAUACUGUGGAUGUUGGAUCAUCUGAAUUAAACUACUCUGGGGUUACAACUGCUACCUCAUUUCCUUGGGUUAAAUCAUCCUUUUUAAAAUGACUCCAAUUAUGAGAAAACUCAUUUUUCAUUUUAUUGCUGUUUUUAAAAACAGCUUUAUUAAUAUGUAGAUAAAAUAGCUAUCAUUAUUGAUCACUGAAAUUUAUUGAUCACUAUGUGCCAAGCACUGUUCUAAUGACCGUACAAAAGUUACUGCCCUAGGUUGAAGUACUAGAGCAUGUGUAUAGAAAUGGGAACAACCUGGGUCCAAAUCCUGGCAUCAGCACUGACUAGUGCUUUGGUUCUGGGCAGAGUUACCUAAUGUCUCUAAACUUCUGAAUGAUCUGAAAAGCAGAGAAAAUAAUAUCUAUUCUAUCUGUUACAUAAUAAAUGUUCAAUACAUUCUAGUGAUUAUUAUUAUUUCAUGAACUAUGAAACUAACAGGAAAAACAUUUACAGUUUGGGCUACCUUGCCUGGUAUUUACAGGCAUUCAACACUCCUUCGUUACUUCAGUCCUCAAAUCACCUUAUUUGUUCCAUCUGUAUUUAUUGUACACUUACGAUGUACCAUUAUGGCUACUUUAAAUGAAUAUCCGAAUUAUCAACAUUACAAUGUAAAAACCUAGUUUUCAGAAAGUCCUCAAAUUCAACUUAUAAAAUUUGGUAUACUAUAUACAAAUCUAAAGAAGUAAGAACAAUCAGCUUAAUUCAAACUCAACAUACUAGAUAUCCUUAAACAAUCAGUCCUAUUUAUAAGCUCAGUUAAUUAAAUUUUUGGAAACUUUUAAUUUGCAUUAAUAAACUGAAUAAAUUCAGUUUUCUUCCAAAGUACUUCACGUGCCUGACAGGGCAAAUUUACAAUUGUAAUAAGCCCUAUGCAAGUCUUUAAAUGAUCCUGGAAAUCUAAUAAACUAAACUUAUAAAUGUGGGAAAUCAAGUUCUUUUAACUGUACAAAUAUCAUUUUAAAAACAAGUCAAAUUAUCUUCAACUUCAGAUAACAAGUUUAAAAUUAAUUAUGCCUUUUAAAUCAGAGGCAAAUAUCUAAUAUGCCAGAUUCUCUUAAAAUAAUAGAUAUUUUAAAUACCAAACAUAUUGAUUAUUCCUGAACUUUACAGAAGCAUGAGUUUCAUUUAUCUCAUUAUCUGUACAUGGAAUCCUUAAUCUUCUCACAGUUAGAAAGUCAUUUACUAAGAAUUUGAGUUGCUCAUUAUAACCUUUUCAUCAAAGGCAGUCAAGUAUAAACUUGAUCCUCAGGAACUUAGGUUAGACUCAUUAAAAACACAAACAAAGAAAAAUACAUGCUGCUGCAGUUUCUUUGUUCUUUGGAAACAAAGGAAAGAGUAGAAUAGCCAAAAUAUGAAACUGAGAUCAAAACUGCUCAUUUAGGUCAAACCAACACAAAGCUGCCUAUAGUUUAAAUUAGAUAGCACUUUAUAGAAAACAUCUGGAUCUUUGCUCUCUGACACCUCAUCUCAGUGUGGAUUUAAUUUGCAUUUCCUGUAUUCUGG